UACGUAGGGUGCAAGCGUUAAUCGGAAUUACUGGGCGUAAAGCGUGCGCAGGCGGCUAUGCAAGACAGAUGUGAAAUCCCCGGGCUCAACCUGGGAACUGCAUUUGUGACUGCAUAGCUAGAGUACGGUAGAGGGGGAUGGAAUUCCGCGUGUAGCAGUGAAAUGCGUAGAUAUGCGGAGGAACACCGAUGGCGAAGGCAAUCCCCUGGGCCUGCACUGACGCUCAUGCACGAAAGCGUGGGGAGCAAACAGG
rnacentral:rRNA from 1 species